rnacentral:rRNA from 1 species
CCUACGGGAGGCAGCAGUGGGGAAUAUUGCGCAAUGGGCGAAAGCCUGACGCAGCGACGCCGCGUGAAGGAAGAAGGCUUUCGGGUUGUAAACUUCUUUUCUCAGGGACGAAGCAAGUGACGGUACCUGAGGAAUAAGCCACGGCUAACUACGUGCCAGCAGCCGCGGUAAUACGUAGGUGGCAAGCGUUAUCCGGAUUUACUGGGUGUAAAGGGCGUGUAGGCGGGAAAGCAAGUCAGAUGUGAAAACCAUGGGCUCAACCUGUGGCCUGCAUUUGAAACUGUUUUUCUUGAGUACUGGAGAGGCAGACGGAAUUCCUAGUGUAGCGGUGAAAUGCGUAGAUAUUAGGAGGAACACCAGUGGCGAAGGCGGUCUGCUGGGCAGCAACUGACGCUGAGGCGCGAAAGCGUGGGGAGCAAACAGGAUUAGAUACCCGGGUAGUC